AAAUAUGACAAGUGAAGUUCGCUAUAAUUACUAAGGUGGAUUCGACCAAAUAAGCACAGCGCCGCGCCCGCGCCCGUCCCCGCGCCCGCGCCGGACGGACACUCGAUCAAUACUGAAGUCAGGGGGGAGAUCGGCGUAGCCGCGCUGCCCGCUAUCCCGCACUCGGCGUCGACCCCGCACCACAUCGAUUUAUGAACGCGGGACCCGCCCCAGUGCUAAUACUAGUACAACACUACUAGUCCACACACGGUUCAACGGACUGGUCACGUGUUAACUGACAGACGAGUCGAUCCCAGAGCGAACACGUAUUAAAUUGUAGUUAAAUCACUAACCAUAACCACUGAUCAAUUAAUUUAACGCUUGAAUUUAUACUAACAUAACAUAGUAUUUUUACCAAUAUCAAUUUAACGAGCUGUCAAAUGUUAUGUCAUAGGUUGUCUUCUUCUUCUUUUUAUUUUGUUUAUGGCCAGGUCUGGGAUAUUAUGGCUUCUCGAGUAACCUCCCCAUAGUUAAAGUAACUGACAGUGAUUGAGUGUUGUCAAACAGCGCUGUUUAGGCCGUGAUCACAUUAAACGUACUUAAAAUUCCAGCCACGAAUGGCAAAAAGUGUACAGUACGGAUAAAAGAAACUAAGCACAGCCAUUGACAUAACAUUUUGACAAUCAAUAUGUAAACAUAUUCGAUUGAAUAACCUGGACUAAAGAAAUAACUUGUAUAUCUUUUCCUAUUAUUAUAUUGU